GACGAACGCUGGCGGCGUGCUUAACACAUGCAAGUCGAACGAAGAGCGAUGGAAGCUUGCUUCUAUCAAUCUUAGUGGCGAACGGGUGAGUAACGCGUAAUCAACCUGCCCUUCAGAGGGGGACAACAGUUGGAAACGACUGCUAAUACCGCAUACGAUCUAAUCUCGGCAUCGAGGAAAGAUGAAAGGUGGCCUCUAUUUAUAAGCUAUCACUGAAGGAGGGGAUUGCGUCUGAUUAGCUAGUUGGAGGGGUAACGGCCCACCAAGGCGAUGAUCAGUAGCCGGUCUGAGAGGAUGAACGGCCACAUUGGGACUGAGACACGGCCCAGACUCCUACGGGAGGCAGCAGUGGGGAAUCUUCCGCAAUGGACGAAAGUCUGACGGAGCAACGCCGCGUGAGUGAUGACGGCCUUCGGGUUGUAAAGCUCUGUUAAUCGGGACGAAAGGCCUUCUUGCGAACAGCUAGAAGGAUUGACGGUACCGGAAUAGAAAGCCACGGCUAACUACGUG
rnacentral:rRNA from 1 species